rnacentral:misc_RNA from 1 species
UUUCCGUAGGUGAACCUGCGGAAGGACCAUUAUAGUAUAACCGAGGUGCGAGGGCUGUCGCGGAGUAGAAAGGUUGUGCACGCUCGAGUGCCCACCCACGCGACAAUUUUACCACUUUGUGCAGCACCGCGUGGGUCCUUCUUUCGUGCGACCGGAGGGGGGCUUACGGUUCGACACAAACUUUGUAGGCAUUGUAGCAUGUAAAUGUGGUUUUUGCCAGCACGCAAGCAAUACAAAUUACAACAACGGAUAUCUUGGCCAAUGCAUCGAUGAAUAAUG